rnacentral:rRNA from 1 species
AUUGAACGCUGGCGGCAUGCCUUACACAUGCAAGUCGAACGGCAGCACGGGAGCAAUCCUGGUGGCGAGUGGCGAACGGGUGAGUAAUAUAUCGGAACGUGCCCAGUCGUGGGGGAUAACGCAGCGAAAGCUGUGCUAAUACCGCAUACGAUCUACGGAUGAAAGCGGGGGAUCGCAAGACCUCGCGCGAUUGGAGCGGCCGAUAUCAGAUUAGCUAGUUGGUGAGGUAAAGGCUCACCAAGGCGACGAUCUGUAGCUGGUCUGAGAGGACGACCAGCCCCACUGGAACGGAGACACGGUCCAGACUCCUACGGGAGGCAGCAGUGGGGAAUUUUGGACAAUGGGCGCAAGCCUGAUCCAGCAAUGCCGCGUGCAGGAUGAAGGCCUUCGGGUUGUAAACUGCUUUUGUACGGAACGAAACGGUGAGCUCUAAUACAGUUUGCUAAUGACGGUACCGUAAGAAUAAGCACCGGCUAACCACGUGCCAGCCGCCGCCGUAAUAC